rnacentral:lncRNA from 1 species
GUAACCCGUUGAAGUUGCAGCAGAGAACGGGAGGAAACGUCUUUGUACACCAGGCGCACCGUUCCAGGAUCAGUGUCAGGGAAUAAACCAGUCACGGCUCGAAUGAAGCCUGUGCUGCCAUCAGUGUUUAGAUUCUGAAGAAAAAAAAAACCAUUUCUAUGUGGGAAUAUUUACUGUAAACAGUGACCAUCUUCCCUGGUUGUGAGUGAAACAGUAACCAGCUAAAGGACAGUUUUUCAAAGAAGCCAUGGGUCUUUGAACCACACUGGAUAAUAGUUAAAAACACUUAACCUUCCUCCAGUAUUUAUAAAGUAUCAAGUUCACCAAGGAGAACAUGGAUCUGUCUACCAGGGUUCUGGGUGUGGACGCCGAUGGAAACAUGGUGUUCACGAUGGUGAAGACGCUCACGGGCCUUUUCCAGGUGUCCUCAGACCAAGCUAACGCUGUAGCAGAGCAAGGAGGAGUGGGAACGACGGGUUUGUCCGACAACCCAGUGCUCCUCGCUCAUCACACACAGGAUCAACCUUUACUGGACCAGCAGCAGGACAUGGAAAACAACUCCAUGCAGAUUCCUGCUGUGCUUCAGACUGAGGAGGAGGAGCGUCCACCUGCAGACAUGUGCACAAACCCAGAGUCCACGAGCCAGAUGCCCUUUGCAGAGGUGUCGUCACUCCUGGAUCCAAACAUGAAAGGCUCCAAGGCUCGAAAGUACUUUAUCUCAUACGAUGAGAUCAAACGGCGCCUCCAGGCCCCAGAGAAGAUGUCCCUGCGUUCGUUGGCGGCGUACACGCGUGUGAGCAGAGGACCAGCGAGUAAGAAAACGCUGCAGGAGUCACUGAAUGUUCUGGGCCUGACGCCAAGCACCACUACAUCUGUGUCCUCAUCGUUCUCUAAACUCACAGAAGGUGACACCAAAGCGCUCUGUGACGACCUGAAGGAUUUUGCCCACGAUUACAUCGACUACGGCAACAUGGCCAAGCAGCUCAUCCCUGAUAGUAACACUGUUCAACACUGGUCCAAAAUAAUAGAGUCCAAAAACCACCUUGAAGACAUGAGAAAACGUUUCAAAGAUCCCAUCAACAGCUCAGCGUUUGACAGCGUCACCCACGGCCUGGGCCUGGGCGUGUUGGAUGUGGCUUUAGACGUGAUCAUUAAUGUUAUUGAUCAUCAGAUACGCAUCCUGUCUGGAGCGGCGGCGUCUGACGCAGUCGACUCCAAUCCGCCGUCGCGAAGCAUCCGCAGGCGCCACCGCAGGCCCCGCCUUAGUGAGGGCGACGGAGCUCAGACGCCCCAUGGAGCCACGCAGCAACAGGUGGUUUCUAAGAGCAAAGCUCGAGUCAGAGCGAGAAAGAAGAUGAGGCAGGAAACGGUGGACGUUCACGUGCAGCAGAACAAGGCGGACGUGGAAAAUAACGGCCUCACUUUGAUCUCAGUGGAGUACCAGACUCUACCUGCUGCACAUGAAACAGUGAAGCAAUGAUGUUCACAGCACAAGCUCCACUUUCAUUGAGAUUCCUUUACACCACCGAUGUCAAACUCAAGGCCCGUGGGCCAUGUUCAGCCUACCAGAACAUCUACUCCAGCCCGCAGAAGAUUUUAUUCAAAGUAAAAAUCACAGCAAAAAUUAGGCUUUUUGUAAAUUAUCAUAUAAGUUGUAGAUAAAAUACAAUGGAUGGGGGUUGCUUUGCAAUAUUAUUUACAGUGAUAUUAAAUUGCAAUGACUUUAUUUAAAUUAUUCCGUAGAAUUGACCUUUUGCAAAAGCCCCGCCCCCCUUAUUUACUUUUAGAAUGUCUGUCAUGUUCCUGAGUUGGUCUCGUCUGUAAUGGCUGGGAGAAGUUAGUGACUUUUUUUGGAGCAAUACCUCUACGAUGUCCUCCAGAACCAGGUAAAAAGACUUAAAAUAUGCUGUGGGGGGAUAUAUUCAACAUAUUAAAAUAAACAACGAAGGGGACAUUACA